UUUUACAUUGAGUGUGAUAGAAAGCUACUGGGGUGUCAGGGGCAGAGGAGGUAUAGGAUUCAUAUUAUAACCAGAUCACUCCAGCUGCAGCAUUGAGAAUAGAUCAUAGGAAGGCAAGGGUGCAAGGGAGAAGGAUGCAAGAGAAGAGGCUCUAGUGGGAAUCCAGGGAGAGCCCCAGUGGCUUAAACGAAGAUGGUGGCAGUGGACAUGGAGACAUGUGAAUAUAUUUUGGAGAAAAAUUCAGCAGGAUUUCCUGAUGUGUUGACAUGCGGUAUAAGAGAAAGUGUGGAAUUAGUGACUCUAAGGCUUUUGUUGUUAUUGUUGGGUUUGGUUUGGGGUUUUUGUUUGCUUUUUCAUUUUUUCCUGGGCAACUGAAAGGAUAGAGUUAUUUUCCAGAUGGGAAGAUUGUGGGUGGAAACUGUUUGGGGAAGAAUAUUAAAGUUUGCUUUCGGUGACUUGAGUUUGAUCCCCAAGCGAAGACAUCCAGGAGGCGUUGGACCUGAGCAUUUGGAGUUGGGAGAGGAAACUAAGAACUGGAGAGAAGAUAUCAGAGGCUUAAGGAGAGUGGAUAAGGUAUUAUGUGGAUGUCUAGGAGAGUGGGAGAGUCCAUAGACCAGGGAAAUGAACACAGUUGCCUGGCUGCACCAAGCACUCAUGAUGUUCACUAUCACAAACAUAAAGUGGGACUGGUGCAUGUAGUUAUGAGUUUUUCGCUAGCCACGUUUGGCUGUUCGGGUGCAGACACAGUUUGCUAGAUUUAAACAGGGUUGAGGUGUUGCCAAGUGGGAAAGCUACAGAGAGACAAAGAAAUAGAGAUUAGAUGCAAGGGGGCCAUCAUGAUAAUUGCCCAGGUAAUGAAAGGAAGCUGAAAAGGGAAGAUAGUGAGGGUCAGCAAAAGGUGGUGGGAUCAGUGGAUGGGUGCUGCCAGUGGGUUGAAGGUGGUGGGAGCAGUGAUGGGGCUCCCAGUGGGUUGAAGGUGGUGAGAGAAGAGGAUGGUCGUUCCCAGUGGGUUGAAGGCUUGUUGGAGUUGGGACACUGGGUGGUAUGAACUGGAGAGUCAGGAGGUAAGUGAUCAGAUGCUGGGAUGGAUGAAAAUGAGAAUAUGGAUGGCAAGGUGGUUGUUCACCCCCAAACAUGGCUGGAAUACAUUUUUUUGUUCCUUUUUGCAGUUAGAUAUGGCCAAUGCUUAGUUCUGGCAAAGGAAAUGUGGAUGGAGAUGAUGUGCCCAGUUUCUAGGCCUGGCCCAUAAAAAAAUCAUCUCAUGCAAUUCUAUACCCUUUUUCUUUUCUGUCUGCCACUGAAUGCAGAGAAUCCAGCCAGGACUGUGAAGCCCCAGGGAAUGGCUGCACUUCAAGUCAGAAGGAGCCUGGGUCCCUGAAUCAUCAUGUGGAAGGCUCUCCACCCAGUUCAAUGGUGCAAUGGACCACAAGCAGGAACUUAAUUUAGAAUGUGCUUAUUUUGUUAGAUUUUGUAAUUAAAAAAUGGAUCCCAC
rnacentral:lncRNA from 1 species